rnacentral:rRNA from 1 species
ACCGUACUCCUACGGGAGGCAGCAGUAGGGAAUCUUCCGCAAUGGGCGAAAGCCUGACGGAGCAACGCCGCGUGAGUGAUGAAGGUCUUCGGAUCGUAAAACUCUGUUAUCAGGGAAGAACAAACGUGUAAGUAACUGUGCACGUCUUGACGGUACCUGAUCAGAAAGCCACGGCUAACUACGUGCCAGCAGCCGCGGUAAUACGUAGGUGGCAAGCGUUAUCCGGAAUUAUUGGGCGUAAAGCGCGCGUAGGCGGUUUUUUAAGUCUGAUGUGAAAGCCCACGGCUCAACCGUGGAGGGUCAUUGGAAACUGGAAAACUUGAGUGCAGAAGAGGAAAGUGGAAUUCCAUGUGUAGCGGUGAAAUGCGCAGAGAUAUGGAGGAACACCAGUGGCGAAGGCGACUUUCUGGUCUGUAACUGACGCUGAUGUGCGAAAGCGUGGGGAUCAAACAGGAUUAGAAACCCCAGUAGUCCUUGAC